rnacentral:ncRNA from 1 species
CCCGCUGAACUUAAGCAUAUCAUUUAGCGGAGGAAAAGAAACUAACAAGGAUUCCCCUAGUAACGGCGAGUGAACGGGGAGAAGCCCAGCGCUGAAUCUUUCGGUGUUACACCGUUAAGAAAUGUAGCGUAUAGGUGUGGUUUUCAGUUUGUGCUACUUAUCCAAAGUCCCUUUGAUAGGGGCCACAUUCCCGAGAGGGUGCGAGACCUGUGCGGAUAGUGGAGCAAGCUGUACGAUCAUACCUUGGAGUCGGGUUGCUUGAAAGUGCAGCCUAAAGUGGGUGAUAAACUUCAUCUAAGGCUAAAUAUAGACGCGAAUUCGAUAGCAAACAAGUACUGUGAAGGAAAGUUGCAAAGAACUUUGAAGAGAGAGUUCAAGAGAACGUGAAAUCGCUGGAGUGGAAACGGAGAGAGUUGACGUAGUCCGGUGACUAAGUUUGCCGAAAUCGCUUAAUUGUGAUUAAGGUGAAUGUAUGUUGCCUAUGGCUGCGCUGACAGCACUGGUUGUACGUUCCGAACCGUUUUCGUUGCCCAAUUUUCGAAUUGGUGUCUUGUUUACGGGUAGGUUUGUUAUGACUAGUGUUUUAUCCUGUUUUAUGCAGGGUGUCAGUGUGAAGGUCGACCACCUCUCCGACCCGUCUUGAAACACGGACCGAGGAGUGUAACUUGUACGCGAGUCAAAGGGUGGAAAACCCCAAGGCGCAAUGAAAGUAAAGGUCGGUUAACCGACUGACAUGGGAUCCGUUUCGUUUUGAAGCGGCGCACCAUGGCCCUGUCUUGUCUGCUUGCAGAUGGGCAGCGGUAGAGCGUACAGGUUGCGACCCGAAAGAUGGUGAACUAUGCCUGAGCAGGACGAAGUCAGAGGAAACUCUGGUGGAAGUCCGUAUCGGUUCUGACGUGCAAAUCGAUCGAUAGACUUGGGUAUAGGGGCGAAAGACUAAUCGAACCAUCUAGUAGCUGGUUCCCUCCGAAGUUUCCCCCAGGAUAGCUGGAGUUCAUUGCGGUUAUAUCCGGUAAAGCGAAUGAUUAGAGGACUUGGGGUCGAAACGACCUCAACCUAUUCUCAAACUUUCAAUGGGUAUGUUGUCUCGGUUUCUUUGUUGAACUGUUGACACGAACGCGAACUCCAAGUGGGCCAUUUUUGGUAAGCAGAACUGGCGCUGUGGGAUGAACCAAACGUUGGGUUAAGGUGCCUAACUUUUCGCUCAUGAGACCCCAUAAAAGGCGUUGGUUGAUAUAGACAGCAGGACGGUGGCCAUGGAAGUCGGUACCCGCUAAGGAGUGUGUAACAACUCACCUGCCGAAUCAACUAGCCCUGAAAAUGGAUGGCGCUUGAGCGAGAGACCUAUACCCAACCGUUGCUGGCUUGUGCGUGCCUGUCGCCUGGCUGCAACGAGUAGGAGGGUCGUGGCGGUUGCGUCGAAGGUUUUGGGCGUAGGCCCAACUGGAGCUUCCGUCAGUGCAGAUCUCGGUGGUAGUAGCAAAUAUUUAAGUUCGAUCCUUGAAGACUGAAGUGGAGAAGGGUUCCACGUGAACAGUAGUUGAAUGUGGUCAGUCGAUCCUAAGAUACUGGCUUAUGCCUUGUAUCAUCGAGAGGGAAAAGUCUCUUUUCUCUCGGAUAUCAAAAGGGAAUAGGGUUAAUAUUCCCUAACGCAGACACAGAGAUUGUGGCUCUUACGAGUCACUUGCGCGGUAACGCAUUCGAACUUGGUUACGUCGCUCAGAGACCGAGCUAGAGUUCUCUUCUCUAGUUAAGGAACGGACUCCCUGGAAUCGGUUCAGCCGUAGAUAGGGACGUUGUUUCCGUAAAGCAUCGCGGUUUCUGUGAUGUCUCGUGUUCUCUGGACGGCCCUUGAAAAACCAAGGGAGGCUAUUAAUCUGUGCUGCAUCGUACCGAUAUCCGCAUCAGGUCUCCAAGGUGAACAGCCUCUAGUC